CUCAAACCUACAGUUCUGCUUCAAUGGCGAAGCUCGUCUCUGUAUAUGCGACCGUAUACGUAUAGGUGUCGGGAACUGAUUCGCCGAUCUGAUGUGUUUCUCCGGCAAAUUUCCGAUGGCAUGACGGCGAUCGGAUACCGACGAUCAAUCGGCGGCUUGUCAGAUCCCGCCUUGCAUCAAUUGAAUCGGAGGCCGCCGUGAGGCGACGGUUUUUUUUCAGAUCUGCGGCGGUGCGUCGUUAUUCCGUUUGAAAUUUUCAGAUCUAAGGUUUGCAAGUUUGAAUUCUUUUUCCCGUGUUUUACAUUGUCUGAUUUGGCAUUUUCUGGGAUCUGAAAUAAACGCUGCGAUCUGCAAAUCGUAGUUCGUAGUGUUUGAAUUUGGUUUCGCUCAUUGGUGUAGAGUAUUCUCUAGGGAUGCAAGAAAACGGUAAUUGCUAAUUGUUUGUGUGCAGAGAUUUCUGAUUCGGAUCUGAUUAGCAUGAAUUCAUUUUGCUUCAGUAGUCUUGAUUAAUUGCUUCAAUUCUAUCUAUAGUUGGGUUGAUGCAAGUAUGUGGAAAAGCCAAUGUUGAGAAAUGGUUGUGGUCCUGUUAUUGGAUUAGUGGUCUCAAAUAUCGUGCAGAGUUCUCGGCUGCAUUAUUAAUGGUGUUCGUCCAUAUCGGGAGAAUGAGUAAAGGGAAGCUUGAACUUGCCUCACUAUGAUAGGAAAAACCUUGACUUUAUCGGUAGGAGCAAACUUGGACUCCCAAAAUGGGACUUUUUAUUUAUUCGACCGACCAAAAUGAUUCCGUUUUAAAAUAUCCAGUGCUUGAAACUCCAUGUCUUUGAAAUUUUAGUGUCUAUAGUUUGAGUUUAGCUGUCAUUUUUGUAUAGGUUUAGUUAUUGUUUGUAAAUACGUUCCCUUUUUUAGUUGUUUGGAUUGCUUUCCCUUUAUGGAUGUUUAGGAAUGUAUGCGAUCUAAUCGGCUCCGUGCCUAAUAAGUUGAUGUUCGCCUUGAGGGCAUGAUGAGUAGAAUUUAUGUUCCAAUGGAUGGAAUGGAAAUCAUUGGAUUUUAGGCCGGAGGGAACUUGUUGAACUGGUACUUGGUUUAAUGGCUGUGGAGCUUUGUUACACUUACUAUCAGCUGUGUAUUGAGUGUUAAGACCUGCGACAAUACAAGCAAACUAUGUGAAUCCUGCAUGCUUGUAUUUAGAGUAGCGAAGGUGAUAUCGAGUUUAUUCAAAUGUCAGAAGAGUGAAACAUUUGCAAGUUUUGUGAAAAAAACUUGGAAUUUUCUAAAAUUUGGCCAGUUAGGGCUGGAAUAUCUCAAAAAAGACAGAGUUUUGGUAUGUAUUGUGUCAUUUUUCCUUACGAGAACCCUGUAAUAAAAAGAGAAAAGAAUCCGGGGGUGUUUAAAUCUCUCUAGUGACUUCAUGGAUUGGAAUGGCGAUCAUUUAGGUAAUGUCCCUUGUUAAACUACCAUUACUUUUGUUGGCUAGCUUCUUUUUGAUUGCAUAUAUGCAUGGAUGGACGAGUAUCCCGUCUUCUUAAUUAGUGGGGCUUUCAUAUCUUUAUGGCCUGAAUUGAUGGUGGAAACCUUAGCUCAUAGUUUCUGUUUUUGCAUGCACGCAGUGAUAUGAGACCGUUGCUGACGGCACAAAAAGAUCCUGCAAUAUCCUCCCCCACCGCCCUCUGUACAAGCGUAAGUAAAUCCUGUGGCUCUGUUUGUUGUGAAUUUGGGCAUAUUGUUUUUUGAGUUAAUUGAUUCACAAGGACAGAUAUGAUUAAACCCUGAAAGAAAGGAGACUUCACGGGCAUCUUUUUGACAUGCCAGCUAUUAUAUGUAACUCUGCGAAUGAACCCCAUGCUUUACAAUUUUUUUUUGUAAUGGCCAAGGUUGGGCCAGCAGUGAUAAAUUGUCGAGGGGUUGAAACUUGGGGAGUCUCCAUAUUUUCCCUGCAGCACGCACACCGUAACAUCUGGAUGCAAGAUACAUGGGGAAAUGUAGUUCAAACCGUAGUUAUUAGCCUUAUAUAAUGCACAGCAGCAACGAAGAUGAUUUGGCUGUUGAUGGAUCAGAUCAUCGGCUUUACGGUCCUCUUUUUUCUGAUGAUCCCGGCUGAGAUCGAUUGGCUUGGCUCCAUCCGUAGAGGAUAUGUUUCCAAGUGUUCCGAAAGAGUGCCUCGAGAAUAGGCUUUGAGCGAGAAUCCGAUUCAACUCGUUCUUUCUUUUUGGGUUUGGUGUAGUCUUUUGAAGGCCCUGCUACAGCGUGGUAGAAAAGAUGUUAUACAUUUGCUCUCAAGCUUAUAUCCAUGUCUCUAAGGACUACUUGUUCGUUUUGUGGGGGAAGUUUGGGUGAGCAACUGAUGAUGAUUAUUAUUUUUUUAUAUCAUUAUUAGUUAAUGUGUGAAUAUAAAAACCCUAAAAAUGAAAACGAAAUUUGUC